rnacentral:lncRNA from 1 species
UGCAAACCUGUUGAAAUCCAUUGCAUACUGUGGUAAAUAUAGUAAAUAGUACUGCAUUGUGCAUUUCAAAAUCACUGAGAAUACACCACAAAAAAUGAUACCUAUUUGAAGUGAUAAACAUAUUAAUUAACUUGAUUUAAUUAUUCCACAUUGUAUUCAAGAAUCACAUCACUUUGUACCACAUAAAUAUAUACCAACUAUAAUUUUUUAAAUUGCAUUUAAAACUAAAUAUUAAAUUUGUUAAAAUAAAAAUAUAUAAGGAUUUUAAAAUAACUUAGUGGUGCAAAAUCUCAAAGUGAAAUGAACCAUCAUGCUAAUAAUAAAAAAUAAAUAAAUAAAGCAAGAUGGCCAUGUCCUAAAUUGCCUUUUUAAAUUUUAAGAUGCACAAAAUUACAUUAUUCUUAUAACUUCAAUAGCAUUUGGCUUUUCUCAAUCAAAUCAGUUUUAAUUCCUUCUAAAAAUACAAGUCU